AACAGAUGGCUCCAGAGCAUCUUUUGGCUACAUUUGAGAAAGCAUGUGCAGAGAUUUUAGCCUCUACAUCAAAUGGUAUGCUCAAAAUUGAGAAGUUGAUCCUGAGCCAGUUUAGUUUCAAUGGUUUAUUUUUUGAAUUGGCUAAGGAUUUAUACCGCUGAGGGUUUCUGUCGGCUGAAAACGGUAUGCUUUCAGGUAAUUACACUAAAGUCUUAUCCGGCUGAGCUGUCUUUAACUGCUGGGAUUUGCAUUGAGAAGGCAUUAUCUCAGUCGGGUGUGGCGAGGGAAGACGUGAACUAUAUUAAUGUCGCAUGCUACAUCAACACAAGCAAGGGACAUUAAGGAACAUCAAGCUAUUGUUCAUUUUGAGGGUGAACUCUACAAAAUCAAUGGUCGGCCACCUCAUGGGAGCCACUGGUGCUGUGGAAGCUAUCGCAACAAUAAAAGUAAUACAAUGAAGUAAUUUGUUGUUUUGUUUUACUUAGACCAUUUGUUUUGAAUCUUAAUUUUUAGUUUCGGUAUGUUAUAUAGGCGACACGGACAGGCUGAGUACAUCCAAAUCUUAAUUUUAGUUUCGGUAUGUUACUUAGACCAUUUGUUUUGAAUCUUAAUUUUAGUUUCGGUAUGUUACAUAGUUUCGGUA